rnacentral:rRNA from 1 species
AUACGGAGGAUGCGAGCGUUAUCCGGAUUCAUUGGGUUUAAAGGGUGCGUAGGCGGCUUUUUAAGUCAGUGGUGAAAUCCUGCCGCUUAACGGUAGAAUUGCCAUUGAUACUGAAGAGCUUGAGUACAAUUGAGGUAAGCGGAAUGUGUAGUGUAGCGGUGAAAUGCUUAGAUAUUACACAGAACACCGAUUGCGAAGGCAGCUUACUAAACUGUCACUGACGCUGAUGCACGAAGGCGUGGGUAUC